rnacentral:tRNA from 1 species
GCAUCAGUGGUUCAGUGGUGCUCGCCUGCCACGCGGGCGGCCCGGGUUCGAUUCCCGGCCGAUGCA